rnacentral:rRNA from 1 species
CCUACGGGUGGCAGCAGUGAGGAAUAUUGGUCAAUGGACGGAAGUCUGAACCAGCCAUGCCGCGUGCAGGAAGACGGCUCUAUGAGUUGUAAACUGCUUUUGUACAAGGGUAAACCUGAAUACGUGUAUUCAGCUGAAAGUACUGUACGAAUAAGGAUCGGCUAACUCCGUGCCAGCAGCCGCGGUAAUACGGAGGAUCCAAGCGUUAUCCGGAUUUAUUGGGUUUAAAGGGUGCGUAGGCGGAUUGAUAAGUUAGAGGUGAAAUGUCCGGGCUUAACUCGGGAACUGCCUCGAGUACAGUGGGUGGAGGGAGUGGGUGGGGUAGGGGGAAGGUAGGGGGUGGGGGUGAGAUGGGUAGAGA